rnacentral:rRNA from 1 species
UACGAAGGGGGCUAGCGUUGCUCGGAAUCACUGGGCGUAAAGCGCACGUAGGCGGCUUUUUAAGUCAGAGGUGAAAUCCUGGAGCUCAACUCCAGAACUGCCUUUGAUACUGGAGAGCUUGAGUCCGGGAGAGGUGAGUGGAACUGCGAGUGUAGAGGUGAAAUUCGUAGAUAUUCGCAAGAACACCAGUGGCGAAGGCGGGUCUCUGGGCCGAUACUGACGCUGAGGAGCGAAAGCGUGGGGAGCGAACAGG